rnacentral:rRNA from 1 species
GUCCUUUAGAAAAUAAGUAUUUAAGGUUUAAUCUGCCCACUGAGAUUUAAAUGGCCGCAGUAAUUUGACUGUGCAAAGGUAGCAUAAUCAUUAGUUUUUUAAUUAAAAGCUUGUAUGAAUGAUUGGACGAGAUAAAUUCUGUCUUUGAAUAAUGAAUAGAAUUUAAUUUUUAAGUUAAAAAGCUUAAAUUUUAAUAAAAGACGAGAAGACCCUAUAGAUCUUUAUUUAAUUGAUUUUAUUAUUAAUUAGGAUUAUUUAAUUUAUUAGAUUUAAUUAAAUUUUAUUGGGGUAAUAAGAAGAUAAAAUAAAUUCUUUUAUAAUUUUACAAAAAUUAUUGAUUUUAGGAUCCUUAUAUUAAGAUUAUAAGAUUAAGUUACCUUAGGGAUAACAGCGUAAUUUCUUUAGAGAGUUCAUAUUGAUAAGGAAGUUUGCGACCUCGAUGUUGGAUUAAAAGUUAUUUUAGGUGCAGUAGUUUAGAAUUUUGGUCUGUUCGACCAUUGAACUUUU